GACGAACGCUGGCGGCGUGCUUAACACAUGCAAGUCGAACGAUGAACCGGAGCUUGCUCUGGGGAUUAGUGGCGAACGGGUGAGUAACACGUGGGCAACCUGCCCCAGACACCGGGAUAACCAUUCGGAAGGAUGGCUAAUACCGGAUACGACCACUUCGGGCAUCCGAUGGUGGUGGAAAGGAUUCUGGUCUGGGAUGGGCCCGCGGCCUAUCAGCUUGUUGGUGGGGUAAUGGCCUACCAAGGCGACGACGGGUAGCCGGCCUGAGAGGGCGACCGGCCACACUGGGACUGAGACACGGCCCAGACUCCUACGGGAGGCAGCAGUGGGGAAUAUUGCGCAAUGGGCGAAGGCCUGACGCAGCGACGCCGCGUGAGGGACGAAGGUCUUCGGAUUGUAAACCUCUUUCAGCAGGGAUGAAGCGAAAGUGACAGUACCUGCAGAAGAAGCACCGGCUAACUACGUGCCAGCCGCCGCCGUAA
rnacentral:rRNA from 1 species